AGGAGUAUGGUGUAACGGUAGCACACAGCACUUUGACUGCUGUAGUAGUUGUUCGAAUCAACUUAUUCCUG
rnacentral:tRNA from 1 species